CAGGGCAGAAUCUGCAGUGAGUUCCUAAGGAAGCUUUUGCCUCCCUCUCCUCCUGCAUGCAAUGGGGAGCUGAUGGCUGCAGUGGCUGCAACGUGGACCUGACUAUGAAGCAAAGGGGGAGAGAACUGCAGACGAGCUGCCUUCACACAACAUCAUGAAUCCAUGCCAGGACCACGUACCCCGACCUUUUUGUUAUGUGAGGAAAAUCACCCUCUCUCGGGAGGGGCCCGGUGGAAGGAGGUUGACAGCUGCAGAGGCAGUGACUCAGUGAAAAGUGGAGAGUUCCAGAGUCCCAGAUGAAGUUUUGCAGAAAAAGAACACCUGUUACCAAAAGUGCCACGCCAUCACAUAAAAUGCCUCAUCAGAAUGUAUCAGCCACUGCAGCUCUGAGAGGCUGAUGGAGCACGACCUCAUAAAAGGCUUGAAAUGAAGCUUAAAGUAAAUCCCUGUUGGUGGAAGAGGACCCAACUUGGAAGUCAGCCACCAUGUUGUGAGGAAGCCCAAGCCACAUGGAAGGGUCGCUGCAGGUGUGCCAGCCCAGAGUCUCAGCUGAGGCCUCAGAAGACAGCCAACAUCUACUGUGAUGACGCCCAGAUCAUACCAGUCCCCAGAGGUCAAGUUAUCUCAACCUACAGGUCGUUCCAGAUGAUAACCCAGUAAUUUUGCAACAAAGGGAGAGAGAAUUAAGAGACUCAGAUGCCAGACCCUAAAGAUAAGGUGCUUUGUUACGAUAAGGAAUUCUCUUUCCAGACAUUUAUAAUUUAAGGUAUGUUGAUGUAUUUAGUGCCUAAAUGUCUUAGCAUGGUAUUUCCUUGUGUUUUAUACAGUUUGUCUUUCUCUACUCCCCAGCACUACAACGAACAUAUGUACAAACUUGUGUCACCAGAAAUUGUAAGUGACAUCUGCAAAGAGAGAGAUUGAGAGAAAGAGAAAGAGAGAGAGAGAGAAGACAAACAGAGACAGGGAGAGAGAGGCAGAGAGAAAUGGAGACCGAGAGAGAUUGAUUUAUCCUGUAAACAUCCACAUCACUUUACUUAACCUCUUUUGGUACUCGGCCUUUCAAUUUUGUAAUACGGCCAAUGAGGAAUUUCGGCAAAUCUCAUAUCUAGGAGACCUAGGAGCUUGUGAAGUCCUUGUCCAUCAGUGGCUGUGCAUUCACUGGCUCCUGGCAUGGUGUCUGGUCUUGAGUGUAGACAGUCAGCCUUGGAGAAUGUUUACUAAAUGCACAGUGAAGGGAGCAUGUGCAUCUCACCUUCCUGGCUACCUUAGUUCUCAUGAUAUCCUCAGAGGAGCUCUUUCUAAUAAUGGUUAUUUGUCAUUUCCAAGGGUGUGCUACAUUUUGCAUUUAUUUAACAUCCUGAAAUUGUUACAUAAUACGUUUAUUAUAUUAUAAUCUCCUUUGUGUCUCUGGUAAUAUGCACUUUUGUUAAAUUUUCAUAUGUAUCAUUGCUUUAUCUAAUAGAUCACAUUUAGGACAAGCAAUGGAUUAAGACUGCCUUAUCAGGGAAAUCUAAUGCUUGUCUUUAAGAAGAGAGGUUUAGCUUCAAUUAAGACAUAUACAUCUAAGAUUUAUCACUGCAAGUAGAUACUUAAUGUCUGUGUUUGGAAUGUACUAAUUAGGUUCCAAUUAGCAGGGUCAAAAUAUGUAAAUCAAAAGCACUUCAUCCCCUUUGGUGUCUCUUUCUCUCCCAUAACUAAUUAUCUGUACUCUUCUUGGUCCCAGCAAACACCACGGACCAUGUCUUUAAGUCUCUAAUAUGGUUUCUUCAAGUAUGGGCCAGGUGCUGUCAACCUGUAUGUUCCUCCUGAAUAAGUCCCUGAGGGUGGGAGCAGAGGGUCUGCAUUUUACCAAGAAGACCAAGUAAUCUCACUGGAAAAUAUAGCUUGAGAAAUACUAUUCUUUAGCCACUUAGGCAUUUUCACUAUGAUAUCUUUAGGGUUUAUCUGAUGGAUACUUACCAAGUGUUUCUCAUCUCUCCAGGGGCUGUGAGUAGCAUAAGAAAGCCUAACCCACCGCCCUAUCCUGGAAGUGUGGUCAGGUUAUUAAGGUAUUGCAGAUGACAAUCAUCAUACAGGGCAGCUUUUUCAGUGACUCAAAGAAAACCCUUAGUAUUCCAUAAGCUGAUAUACCUUUUAAAGUUCAUUUCUAAACUAAACAUUGCAAAAAGUUUCUUGUCAAAAGAGAUUUCAGAUGUCUCUAUAUACUGUUUCUUGUAUAAAUCACACACCCUUACCAAGAGCCCUGAGCUGGGACCCACAAAUGGAAAUCAAAGGUAAUGUGUUCCUCCAUUAUAUAAUAGGAAUUUCAUAAAACCCAUACAACAGUCAUCUGUGUUAUACAGAAAAACAUUCAUCACUGAGCAUUUGAACAUUUUGAUGUUUCUGAAGUACAGAAUUCAUGACACUCUGCAAGUUUUUCCAACCAAUUUACAAAUUAUUUUCAUCCCUCAUCUUAUUAUCCUACCUAGUGUCAACUUGUUCUUUCGGCAUAAUCAAUCUGAAUGACUGGUAAGGUUUCAUAGUGCAGCACUUUAGUUUAUGCAGACAUCUGCCCAAAAGCAUCUCAAUCACUCAUAGCAAGAAACAGGGGCAGCAUUAGCCAUGAGGAAAUGCUGUUUUGUUACACAUGUAUAUCUAAAGACAGGGCUAUUUGUAUAAAAGAAAGUCAGGGUAGUGAUAGACAGAACUAAUGUAUCAAUGUCAGCAGAAAAUGCAAGUCAAGGUAUGGCAGCAAAAAUCAGCCUCACAGGGUACCUGGAACACCAUUAAUUUAAAUUUAAAGCCCUUGUGGGGAAACGGAUAUGAUAUAAUCACUAAAUUAUCAUUCAUAAAUGAAGGUCUAUCAAGUAGACUAUAGUAUUAUAUUUAUAUAAGAAAAUCUUUUCACCUUGCAUUCACACAUAGGGGUUUAUGUUGCUUUAAGUAUUUUUCUAGUUUUAUCAUUACAUUCUUAA
rnacentral:lncRNA from 1 species